AUUGAACGCUGGCGGCAUGCUUUACACAUGCAAGUCGAACGGUAACAGGCCGCAAGGUGCUGACGAGUGGCGAACGGGUGAGUAAUGCAUCGGAACGUGCCCAGUCGUGGGGGAUAACUACUCGAAAGAGUAGCUAAUACCGCAUACGAUCUAUGAUGAAAGCGGGGGGCCGGUAGGCCUCGCGCGAUUUGAGCGGCCGAUGUCAGAUUAGGUAGUUGGUGGGGUAAAGGCUCACCAAGCCAACGAUCUGUAGCUGGUCUGAGAGGACGACCAGCCACACUGGGACUGAGACACGGCCCAGACUCCUACGGGAGGCAGCAGUGGGGAAUUUUGGACAAUGGGCGCAAGCCUGAUCCAGCAAUGCCGCGUGCAGGAAGAAGGCCUUCGGGUUGUAAACUGCUUUUGUACGGAACGAAACGGCUCUGGUUAAUACCCGGGGCUAAUGACGGUACCGUAAGAAUAAGCACCGGCUAACUACGUG
rnacentral:rRNA from 1 species